CCUACGGGAGGCAGCAGUAGGGAAUAUUGGUCAAUGGGUGAGAGCCUGAACCAGCCAUGCCGCGUGCAGGAAGAAGGCCUUCUGGGUUGUAAACUGCUUUUGCCAGGGGAUAAAAAUACCUUGCGAGGUAAAUUGAAGGUACCUGGUGAAUAAGCCACGGCUAACUACGUGCCAGCAGCCGCGGUAAUACGUAGGUGGCAAGCGUUGUCCGGAUUUAUUGGGUUUAAAGGGUGCGUAGGCGGCCCUAUAAGUCAGUGCUGAAAUAUCCCAGCUUAACUGGGAGGGUGGCAUUGAUACUGCGGGGCUAGAGUACAGAUGAGGUAGGCGGAAUUGACGGUGUAGCGGUGAAAUGCUUAGAUAUCGUCAAGAACACCUAUAGCGAAGGCAGCUUACUAGGCUGUAACUGACGCUGAGGCACGAAAGUGUGGGGAUCAAACAGGAUUAGAUACCCUGGUAGUCCACACUGUAAACGUUGAUUACUCGCUGUGUGCGAUAUACAGUACGCGGCCAAGCGAAAGCGCUAAGUAAUCCACCUGGGGAGUACGCCGGCAACGGUGAAACUCAAAGGAAUUGACGG
rnacentral:rRNA from 1 species